rnacentral:tRNA from 1 species
ACGCCAGUGGCUCAAUUGGUAGAGCAGCGGAUUCCAAAUCCGCAGGUUGGGGGUUCGAGUCCCUCCUGGCGUG